rnacentral:tRNA from 1 species
GAGCCGGUGGGCGAGGACGUCGUGCAUCUCGCGGGCGAUGGCCUCGCGGGCCAGCCGCUGGGCCUGCGCGGCCCGCAGUUCGGCCUCCGCCUCGGCCCGC